ensembl:lncRNA
AUGAAAAUGGAGAGACCGCUGUGCGACUGGAAGGCCGCCAUGUCCAGGUUGGUGAUGAGAUCCACCACGCGCACUGCCCGCGUCACAAAGGUGAUCUGGUCCUGCUCGUCACCUAAAAACUUGAUUACCUUUAAAGAGAUAAGAGCGGUAGAAAUAGGAUCAGGGGAGAAGAUCCAGUCCUCCCUGGGCCUCCCCCCUGGCUGCCCCACUCACCUUGAGCAGCGCCUCCAUCAUGCCACAGGAGACCAGGGCCUCACCGCCGGCAUCGUAGCUGGCCAGGUGAUAGAGAAAGGAAAAGAGGGCAGUGGCGAACUGGUGGGGGUAGGGCUCCAUGGAGGGGUCUGUGGAGAGCGAGGCAGGGCGUCAGGGGGGCCGGGUGCCCCCCCCCCCCCCCCCCUCCCCCACAGGGCAGCAUCGCUGGGGCAAGCGGUGGCGACAAGGCGCCCCGAGGGCCCCGAGGGGCGGGGUGGCCCCCGCCGCCCCUUCCUCGCCCGCGGAAACACCACGUCCCGCGGCGGCGGGGGCGGCCCGGGACUCACCGGCGGGCGGGCGGGCACCUCCCGCGAGACCUGCCGCGAGAUCUCGCGAGGCCGCAACGGGACACAACGGCCGGGGCGGGGCCACGCCAGCUCUCGCGAGAGCCGCGCAGCCGCCGGAACUAUCGCGAGACGCCGGGCGGCGCGCGCGAGGACUAGGGGGGAAAGGGAGGAGCACGGACCAGCGGUGCCUCCCCGGCCGGCAGCGGCGGCCGGGAGAUCUCGCGAGACCGCCGCGCGGCCCGCCCCCUCGCAGGCCCUUCUCGCGAGACUGCCACCUCCCACUGCUCGUGAGACGCAGGCCGGGAGCUGUGCAGGGCCCCGGCGGGUCGGGUCACGUGAUGUACCGGUCCACGCAGGCGCGUGCAGUUUUCUCCGUUUUUUUUUAAUUCUAACGAUAUAAAAGUGGGGGGCGUGGCCUCGCCCGGCUCCUACAAAACAGGGCGGAGCCCAGCCCGGAGUGGGGCAACAGCCAAUGGGGAGCGGCCUCACCCCACCCUCCCAAUCAACCUGAAGACAAGGGGUAGAGGGGAAGGAUUAAAAAAAAAAAACAGCGGCGACCAAUCAGAGGAAGCUCCACCCUUUCCUCAGCCAAUCCUGCAGGGAGAGGUGCAGUGGGGGAAGCCCCGCCCUUUGCUCCAGCAGCAUCCAAUCAAAAGCAGUCCUGCCUUGUCACCAGGCUGCAUCCAAUGCAGAGAGAGGGCAGCAUGGUAGGUGUGGCCAUGCAGAGGCCCCACCCUCCUCUCAGCACUUCCCCUUGCAGUAGAUCCCGAGGCAGGGGCUGAUAGGUGGGUGUGGCCUCUCAGGGAGUGGGCAUGGCCAGGCAGAGGCCUCCACCUCCCUCUCAGCUUCCCCUUGCAGCGGAUGCCAAGGCAGCAGCCAAGGGUGGGUGGGCAUGGCCUUGUGGCAGGUGGGCAUGGCCAUGCAGAGGCACUGCCCCCUCCCACAGGCCCCACCCCCCUCUCAGAGCAGCAGCUUCCCGUUGCGGUGGAUCUUGAGGAUGCGGCCCAGGCGCUGCUUGGCCGUGGCCAGGCCCUUGCGCGGGCGCCGGCCUGGCCCCGCCGCCGCCGUGGGGCCACGCAGCGCCUCAGGGCCGCCCCGGCCACCCACCCGUGCCCCCCACUCACCCGGCAGCG